GAUAAAUGCUGGCGGCGUGCCUAAUACAUGCAAGUCGAGCGAACGGACGAGAAGCUUGCUUCUCUGAUGUUAGCGGCGGACGGGUGAGUAACACGUGGAUAACCUACCUAUAAGACUGGGAUAACUUCGGGAAACCGGAGCUAAUACCGGAUAAUAUUUUGAACCGCAUGGUUCAAAAGUGAAAGACGGUCUUGCUGUCACUUAUAGAUGGAUCCGCGCUGCAUUAGCUAGUUGGUAAGGUAACGGCUUACCAAGGCAACGAUGCAUAGCCGACCUGAGAGGGUGAUCGGCCACACUGGAACUGAGACACGGUCCAGACUCCUACGGGAGGCAGCAGUAGGGAAUCUUCCGCAAUGGGCGAAAGCCUGACGGAGCAACGCCGCGUGAGUGAUGAAGGUCUUCGGAUCGUAAAACUCUGUUAUUAGGGAAGAACAUAUGUGUAAGUAACUGUGCACAUCUUGACGGUACCUAAUCAGAAAGCCACGGCUAACUACGUGCCAGCAGCCGCGGUAAUACGUAGGUGGCAAGCGUUAUCCGGAAUUAUUGGGCGUAAAGCGCGCGUAGGCGGUUUUUUAAGUCUGAUGUGAAAGCCCACGGCUCAACCGUGGAGGGUCAUUGGAAACUGGAAAACUUGAGUGCAGAAGAGGAAAGUGGAAUUCCAUGUGUAGCGGUGAAAUGCGCAGAGAUAUGGAGGAACACCAGUGGCGAAGGCGACUUUCUGGUCUGUAACUGACGCUGAUGUGCGAAAGCGUGGGGAUCAAACAGGAUUAGAUACCCUGGUAGUCCACGCCGUAAACGAUGAGUGCUAAGUGUUAGGGGGUUUCCGCCCCUUAGUGCUGCAGCUAACGCAUUAAGCACUCCGCCUGGGGAGUACGACCGCAAGGUUGAAACUCAAAGGAAUUGACGGGGACCCGCACAAGCGGUGGAGCAUGUGGUUUAAUUCGAAGCAACGCGAAGAACCUUACCAAAUCUUGACAUCCUUUGACAACUCUAGAGAUAGAGCCUUCCCCUUCGGGGGACAAAGUGACAGGUGGUGCAUGGUUGUCGUCAGCUCGUGUCGUGAGAUGUUGGGUUAAGUCCCGCAACGAGCGCAACCCUUAAGCUUAGUUGCCAUCAUUAAGUUGGGCACUCUAAGUUGACUGCCGGUGACAAACCGGAGGAAGGUGGGGAUGACGUCAAAUCAUCAUGCCCCUUAUGAUUUGGGCUACACACGUGCUACAAUGGACAAUACAAAGGGCAGCGAAACCGCGAGGUCAAGCAAAUCCCAUAAAGUUGUUCUCAGUUCGGAUUGUAGUCUGCAACUCGACUACAUGAAGCUGGAAUCGCUAGUAAUCGUAGAUCAGCAUGCUACGGUGAAUACGUUCCCGGGUCU
rnacentral:rRNA from 1 species